GGCCCCACCUCGGAGUUUCUGAUUCAGCAGGUCUGGGGGGAGGCCCGAGAAUCUACAUUUCUAACAGGUUCCCGGGUGACAGUUGAUGCCACUGGUCAGGGAGCACACUUUGAGAACCACUGUUCUAGUCCCAUCAGCAUAACUUCCCCGUUCAGCCAGUGUGGUUGAUUCAAGGGCCUCAACAAGUCAGCCUAUGGCCUUCUAUGGUUAGAUGGUUCAACCCAAGUACAUUACUCAAGUCCAUCCAGUUAUAGUGAAGCUCAGGACUUUUGCUUGGUUGGAAAGGCAAUGUGCUGUAAGGACUUUAGGCCAGAACUGCUGUAGCCACUGUGCCACCAUGAAGGAAGCUGACUCAUGAAGAAGAGACUGAGAGAAUCAGAACAAUGGCACCUAAACUUGACCUCCAACCUGAGCCCAGGUCAGCUUCUCCUGAAAGCUGCCAUUCUGUAGGACUUCUCACUUACCUGAACCAAUAAACUCCCUUUGUUGCUUAAGCCAGCUGGAUUGAGUUACUAACAAGUAGCUAAGUGAUAGAGGUGCCCUCUUGAGGGAUGUAGUGUGCUUACUGUAAAACAUUGGGCAAAACUCCACAUGUGGCCUUUCAGGGGAAAUAACACGCCCAACCGCUCCUGGAGGGUGUUCAGAAGAGGAAUGCAGGUGUUAGUAAGGACUGCCUUAACUCCUUUCUUGUGUGUCUUGGCCAAGUCAACUCCCCACCUCUGCCUCAACCCCAAAUCAAAUGCUCAAUGUGGACUUAUUACAAAUGAACCCCUAUUGAGGGUUACAAUCUAAUGGGAACACAUUUUUUGAAAUCCCAAGGCCAAAGACUAUUUGGCAGACUGCCUUUGAGCAAGUUCAGAAAGUAAAAAUUUGGCCAAACGUGGUAAAGAGUUUAUGGCUAGAGUGAAACUCCAAAAUGGGUUGAGUCUGAGGGUAGAGCAAUGGUUCUGAACUGGGAGCAAUUUUGCCCCCCAGUGAACAUUUGGCAAUGUCUCAAGACACUUUUAGUUGUCAAGCCUUGGGGAGAGGUACUACUGGCAUUUAGAGGGUAGAGCCCAGGGCUGCUGCUGACCAUACCACAGUACACAGGGCAGCCUGCCCCAACAAAGAAUGAUCUGUCUGGUCCAAAAUGGCAGUGGUGCCAUGGGUGAGACAUCCUGGGCUAGAAUGAUGAGAAGUCAGAUGAUGCUGUGAUGUGUGAGCUUUUAUCUGGACCAGGGUAGGCGGGCAUUAUUUGGAUCUUGGAUGGCUGAAUAGUAAUAUGUUCUCUAUUUGAAUAAAGAAAGCACAAACUGAGUUUUGUCCAGUUGGUGACAGAUGUGAAUGCAGUAUCAGAGGGCAGUGGGUAGAUUUACAGACUUGGGAGAUGUAAAGAAAACCAAAAGUAGAUCACAUUUAAAUUGAAGCCGACCAAGGUAAGAUAUCCACAUUCUGGCUGCAUUGUGAACUCAUAAAUGUCCUUUAUUUUACAGAGUGUUGGAUUUUGUUUUGCUUGUUUUUCAAUGCACGAAUGAAGUCCUUGACCACUUCCACCUUCCUUUCCAGAAACUUGGAUGAAUUCCUAUGAUCCUGGCCCUGAAUUUGAUUGUUUUCAUUUGUCAUAAAUGCAAUUUACAGGAAGUUUUAAAAGAGACUCCAAGAAAGAACAAAGAGAAGAAGGAGAGAGAGUUGGCUGGCACAAAGGCUAUUCAAAACACUCAACAGAAAACCUACGAAGGUCAUGGAAGAUCGUCCCUUCCUUUUAUAGUGACUCCAUAGCGCUCUCUUGGCUAGAGGGGCAGUUUUCCAAACGUGAACCCAAAAAAUGAUGCCUAUGUCUUAUAUAGCGUGAGAAGAAUGUCUUGAAUUUGCACACUGCCUUUCUUCUGCGAACGUUCAAAGUACUCUACAAACAUGACAUCAUGACUCCCCAGGAGGAGACUGUGGACUGACUCCCAGGAGCAGAAUGCCUCUGAAGCAGGCUGGAGGAGCUCAAGCACAGAAAUCUCGAGGUUCUGCCCGUGGAAGAAAAUUCACAGGAUAUAAAGAGAAAUGGAACUGUACCUUGUAGAUCUAAUAAUAUUUCCUCAAAUCAAAUCCACUUCAGGGGAAGAUUCACUGGAGAAAUUAUUGGAGAUAUUGCAACAAGGAUUAUUUGGAAAUUGAAGUCCCCAUGGUUGAUACAGAAGACUGUCAUAUGAACCAGUGAGAGUAACUGAAAUGAAAAAAAAGGCUCCAGCAUCUCGGUAAAAACAUGCCACAAGGGACGAGAAGGAGAAGUUUCAACCAGCAGGCCAAGAGACCGGAGACAAGAUGUGUGUGGACAAGCCUCUGCUUUAGGCCCAGAAGGAAAAGAAAUUCAUAGGAGACAAUGAGUCUCAGACUCUUUCUUGGUUAUGAGCAAGAGUUCCCUGGAUCUGAGGGGGAAUACAAGGCUUUCUCCUGAGUUCUUUGCGUUUUCCCACUGCGUUUGAUUUUGGAAAUGCUACCGGAAUGAUGGCUGCGUUUUCAGAGGUGGAAAUUCUUAUGUCUCAGAAGCAAGGAAUUACAGAAUACCUACUUUCCAGUGGUGAUGUAUGACUCACAAAAUCCACACCAUUAUUUAUAAUUCCCUAGUGAAUUUGUUCAUGAAAACAGAGCAGAGAUUCCUAAUACUUCUUGAGUUUUGCAAAAUAACAAGAAAGAAAAAAAGAAUUCAACUAAAUGCCCAUUUGUUAGUCCAGCUUUGGAAGGGACCAGCCUUAAAGAAUAAUUGGUCCUUGGUUCCAGGUGGAGCACACAUGCAUAGAACAUACUAGCAGGAGACUGGGCACCAGGUAUGUGUGGAUAACCCAUAGAGUGGCACUUCGAGAAUUGUCAGAAAACAUCCAAUUAAUGGGGUUCACUAGAUUUGAACCUCCUUUUAUCUUAGGAUUUGAGUUGUUAUCUCCAAACCAGCUGUAAAUUAGAUCCUCAGGGAUUCCAAUUUUUAAAAACACUGUUAUUGUAAAUUUUUAGUUUUUUGAACAUACCCAAGUUCGUUGCUUAUUUAAGAAGAUGUGGUCAUCAUGUAACAGAAAUCUUAAAAACUAAGCUCUUUUGGCAAUUGACAUGAAGAAAAAAAUUAAAAAAAAGAUUUUCACACUGUCUUUUAAAGUGUGAAAAACAGUUUUAUUCAUGUUUGGAUAAAUCAGUCAUGUUGAAUUUUAACAAAGUUUUCCCCCCAAAUAUUUUCUUGUUUAGACUGAAGAAAACCAUGAGACAUUUCUUUGAAGAUAAGUCAAUAUUUUGUUUUCCAGAAAUUUGUUAAAGACUUGAAACUUUUAGCAGUCCUUUUUCUCCCAUAACUACAAUGCCAAAAUACUAAAAUGAGUAAACUGUUUGUAUCUUCCCUGAAAUUGACAGCAUGACUGGAAUCAAAUAUUGGGCGCCCAAACGUUUAUGUUCAUUGACGUGUACUCGUAAGGAACACGUACUGAUAUCCCUAGCUCAGAUGGUUAAUUAUAAAAAACCAUCAAUUAAGACAGUCAGCCUGGUUAUUCUUUAGUUCACCUAUGGGAGCUUUUAUAAAAUACCAAUUCUUGGGUCCUACUCUCCAAAGAUGCUGACCCACAGGCCUACUGUGAGGACAAGGAAUCUAUGUUCUUCAAAAGUUCCACUAUGAAUCUGGAUAUCAGCCCAGCGUGGGAAUGACUGAACUACAAUAUUCGCUAUUUCUUAAAACACUUUUUGUGAGAAUGAAUAAAAGCCAUGAAACUUCAGAAGACAAAUCUGGCUGAUCAUCAGAAUCACCUGAGCAGCAUAUUAAAAUACAACAUGAUGGUUUUACCCCAGAUGUUCUGGAUGGUGUUCAGGGAUAUGCAUUUAAAGAAAGCUUCUGGUUCAUCAGUCUCUAGGGAGUCCAUGCUAAAUGGUGCCAGAAGAUGAUCCCAAGAGAAGGUGGCAAAGGAGUUAGUACGAACACCUGUAACCUCACAGUACCAUUUCCAUUUGUCUUCUCCAACAUCUGUGAUUAACAUCAGAUGACACAUCAUCCUGCCUUCUACUCCAGAAUCCUGGUGGGUUUGAUGAGAAGAAUGCAUGGCCAACGGUUGAGAGUAUUUGGCAAGGCAGGAUUCCUGUCUUACUUCAUAUUUCAUACUAAAUACAAAAAGACACCAUAACUCACCAGUACCAGAAAUUCAGUCUACUUGGUUUAUAUGGACAUCUGUUCUCAGAUUACUGGUGGUUUAUCUAACUGCUAUAAUAAAGGUUAAUUCUACAUUAA